rnacentral:rRNA from 1 species
AACGAACGCUGGCGGCAUGCCUAACACAUGCAAGUCGAACGAGACCUUCGGGUCUUGUGGCGCACGGGUGCGUAACGCGAGGGAACCUGCCCUUAGGUUCGGAAUAACUCCCCGAAAGGGGUGCUAAUACCGGAUAAUGUCUUCGGACCAAAGAUUUAUCGCCGUUGGAUGGGCCCGCGUUGGAUUAGCUAGUUGGUAGGGAAAAAGCCUACCAAGGCGACGAUCCAUAGAUGGUCUGAGAGGAUGAUCAGCCACACUGGGACUGGGACACGGCCCAGACUCCUACGGAAAGCAGCAAUGGGGAAUAGUGGACAAUGGGCGAAAUCCUGAUCCAGCAAUGCCGGUUGAGUGAUGAAGUCCGUAAGGUUGUAAAGCUCGUUUACCCGGGAUGAUAAUGACAGUACCUGGAGAAUAAGCUCCGGCUAACUCCGUG